CUUUAUUCUCUGGUGUUUUCAGCUCUGCCUGUUCCUGUCCUCAUCCUCAACUCUUCUCAAUGUUCUUCAUCCUCAUCUUCAUCAGUGCAGUAUUGUUCAGUGCUGUGUUCAGUGGUGAAUGUGAGCGCUGUGAGUCUCUCCUGGUACAAAGGAAACAGUUUAUUGUCCAGCAUCAGUGUGUCUGAUCUCAGCAUCAGUCUCUCUCUACCUCUGGAGGUGGAAUAUCAGGAGAAAAACACCUACAGCUGUGUGAUCAACAACACCAUCAGCAACCAGACUCAACAUCUGGACAUCAGUCAACUCUGUCCCACAUGUUCAGGCUCUGUUCACUGCUGUGGUCCUACUGAAGCUGCGAUCCGAUUGGUCCUCUCUGUUCUGGUGGGCGUGGCUACUGUCAUUAUUGUGCUUUAUGACAUCAGAUCCAGAAGAGCUGAACAAGAUCAAGCACAUAUUCACGCAUCACAAACCUGAAUGAUGAUGUCAGAGAACUGCUUUCAGUCAUUUCAGCUUCAUUUAUUUUGAAGAUUUUAGAUGAACCUGAUGGUUCUGAUGCAGCUCAUGUGAGGGUUUGACAUAAAUACAGCAGCAGACUUAAAAUGCAAAGCUUUGCUUUCAUUUAUUUCAGUACAACAGGCUUUACUAAUGAACAUUUUAUAUAUGAUUUAAUUUUUCGUUUGUUUUGUAGUGUUACUAUUUUACAGAUUCAGUUUGAUUUAUUGUUUAUAUUUCUCUAAAAUAAGACACAGAUCUUACUUCACUGUGCAUUUGUCAGAUGUAUUUGCUUGUCUUCAUCAAUAAAGUUUUCUCUGUCUAAAUGUAAA